AUACUUACCUGGCAGGGGAGAUACCAUGAUCACAAAGGUGGUUUUCCCAAAGCAAGGCUUAUCCAUUAUAUUCCCAAAUGUAGCGAUCCAAAGGGGCACCUACACCCCAAUGUUCAUAGCAGCAAGGCCCAC
rnacentral:snRNA from 1 species